rnacentral:rRNA from 1 species
GACGUAGGGCGCAAGCGUUGUCCGGAAUUAUUGGGCGUAAAGAGCUCGUAGGCGGUCUGUUGCGUCGGCUGUGAAAACCCGGGGCUCAACCUCGGACUUGCAGUGGGGUACGGGGCAGACUAGAGUGUGGUAGGGGGAGACUGGAAUUCCUGGUGUAGCGGUGGAAUGCGCAGAUAUCAGGAGGAACACCGAUGGCGAAGGCAGGUCUCUGGGCCAU